AUAGACAUAUUAAAAUUGUGAUCAUUUGUUUUCUUGACUGUUUUUCAGAUGAGACUACAAAGCAGCAUAAAAUGAAUAGACAAUCCAACCAACCAAAGACCCGGGGCAGCAGCACGCCAGCAAGACGGCAUCUUCUCCUCCCCAGCCUAGAAGCCUUGUGAAAUCGAGGAUCUUCCCCCCAAAACACACACACACAAGAUAUGUGCAAUCAAGCUGCCACCGCUUGGUAAAAAGCUCAUGGUGCCUAACCCAAAAGGAUCCGGAGCAGAUCCUUGAAUCAGCUGUCACUUCUUCUAUAGAAUGGGAUGUUUUUUUCCUUCCUCCUUAACCUGCGCUGGAAAUUGCCGUUGGCUUUAUACAUCUCUAUAGAGGGAGGCUAAAGAGCCUUGCGUGAGAAUGAAGCAAUUUACAAUGCAAAUAGAGGCCUGUGAAGGGAUGGAUGCUGCUGCUCACUCCUAACCGCUUGCUGCACUUUAAUAGCUGGUUUUAUUUUCUGAUAUUAAUAGAUGAAUUGUUGGCUAACGCUGCCGGAGAUUACUUGCUGAAAGGAAAAAAAAAAGUUCGGAAUAAACUUUGAAAGCAACAGCUCUCAUUUGGAUGUUUUAGCCGCACACACAGACAGAAACCAGGUCGUCUUUCCGUGCAAGGAGGAAUCUUAUGCGCGUCAAGUCUCCUGGAGGACUACUCUUCUGCUCUGCCAGAAAGAUCCGGAUCUGGAGUCUGGCCCGAAGAAGACAGAGGCUGUGAGGGAAGCGAGUUGUUAUCUUUGGUUAUCUAGCUGUAUGAGUGUAUUGGUCUUCAUAAAGCUAGAUAACCGAAAGUAAAAACUCCUUCAAGAUCGCCGGGGAGCGUGUGAGAAUGAACUCCAACCAAGAGACAGUAAAAACCAGAAAGGUCAGGAAUACUUAUUGAAUCUAACUUUGUUUGGGGUUUUGUUUUUUCCUUAUGAUUAAAGGUGGGAUUAGAGGAAAUUGACACACGUAUGCCAAAACAUAAAGGUGCAGAUAUUUUGAAAGAGGUUGUUAUAGCUGCGAAGGAGAAUUGUAGAGUGCUAAUGAGUAAAGAGACACAAACUACAGUUUGUCCUACUUAAAGGCGAAAGUUUACAUAUGGAGUUAUUUUCUUUUUCUUAGAAAGCUGUUGUGGGGAUGUCUAGUACCUAGUUUGAGAAUGAUUCCAUAUACAUAGACUGAGGCCGUUCCCUUCUGAAGCCCCUCCCCUGAAAAAUUGGAAGAUUAUGCUUGGAAACUGCAUGUAUUUGGGUUGUAUGUCAAAUUAUAUGAAAUCAGACUUUCAGAAAAGUUUAUACUGGAAGGUUAAUAAUUUGUAGCUACUGAGGACAUUGAGCUAGCAGGGAAAGUGCAAAAAAAGA